rnacentral:rRNA from 1 species
AACGAACGCUGGCGGCAGGCUUAACACAUGCAAGUCGAGCGCAUCAUUCGGGGUGAGCGGCAGACGGGUGAGUAACGCGUGGGGAUCUACCUUUUGCUACGGAAUAGCUCCGGGGAACUGGAAUUAAUACCGGAUGUGCCCUUAGGGGGAAAGAUUUAUCGGCAAGAGAUGAGCCCGCGUUGGAUUGGCUAGUUGGUGGGGUAAAGGCGUACCAAGGCGACGAUCCAUAGCUGGGCUGAGAGGAUGAUCAGCCACAUUGGGACUGAGACACGGCCCAAACUCCUACGGGAAGCAGCAGUGGGGAAUAUUGGACAAUCGGCGCAAGCCUGAUCCACCCAGGAUGCGUGAGUGAUGAAGGCUUUAGGGUUGUAAAGCUCUUUCAUCGGAGAAGAUAAUGACGGUAUCCGGAGAAGAAGCCCCGGCUAACUUCGUG